rnacentral:rRNA from 1 species
CCUACGGGCGGCAGCAGUGAGGAAUAUUGGUCCAUGGGCGCGAGCCUGAACCAGCCAAGUAGCGUGAAGGAUGACUGCCCUACGGGUUGUAAACUUCUUUUAUAAAGGAAUAAAGUGAGGCACGUGUGCCUUUUUGUAUGUACUUUAUGAAUAAGGAUCGCCUAACUCCGUGCCAGCAGCCGCGGUAAUACGGAGGAUCCGAGCGUUAUCCGGAUUUAUUGGGUUUAAAGGGAGCUUAGGCGGAUAUGUAAGAUAGCGGUGAAAUGCCGGGGCUCAACCCCGGAACUGCCAUUAUGACUAUGUAUCUAGAGUAAUGGAGAGGAUAGCGGAAUACCCAGUGUAGAGGUGAAAUUCGUAGAUAUUGGGUAGAACACCGGUGGCGAAGGCGGCUAUCUGGCCAUUUACUGACGCUGAGGCUCGAAAGCAUGGGGAUCAAACAGGAUUAGAUACCCCUGUAGUC